UACAGAAACAGAAUGGUAAAACAAAAACCAAAAAAUCACAAAAAGUUGAGAGUAAAUUUUAUCUUUAUUAUCUAACAGGGUAGAACAUAAUUAUUGUGACCCUACUUUGAAAAUAACAGAACACAGGAGUUUAAAUGAGAGUUUUCAGAAAGGAGAAGUGGAGACUUAAAUUAUGAAUAAUUUUUGUAGCAAGCCAUAAAAGAGGAAAUAUAAAUGGCAAAUAAACCUUUGUUUCUUCAUAGAAUUAUGAAGCAAAAUGGACUAUAUCCUUGGGUAUCUUAAGAAACUCUCCAGUUUGGCAGAGGAAGAAUUGUGCUUCUUUAAAGAUAUAAUAAAGCAUUGAAAAUGGGAGGUUUUAGAGAGAGAUGUGCCUAUCUCUUUGCAAGGUAUUGCUAUAGCUUCCAGAAACUCUAAAAAUAUGUCCUUU
rnacentral:lncRNA from 1 species